rnacentral:rRNA from 1 species
CCGAAGCUGCGGCAGCGACACUCAGGUGUUGUUGGGUAGGGGAGCGUUCUGUAAGCCUGCGAAGGUGGCCUGUGAGGGUUGCUGGAGGUAUCAGAAGUGCGAAUGCUGACAUAAGUAACGAUAAAGCGGGUGAAAAGCCCGCUCGCCGGAAGACCAAGGGUUCCUGUCCAACGUUAAUCGGGGCAGGGUGAGUCGACCCCUAAGGCGAGGCCGAAAGGCGUAGUCGAUGGGAAACGGGUUAAUAUUCCCGUACUUGGUGUUACUGCGAAGGGGGGACGGAGAAGGCUAUGUUGGCCGGGCGACGGUUGUCCCGGUUUAAGCGUGUAGGUGUGUGUUCCAGGUAAAUCCGGUUCACUUUAACACUGAGGCGUGAUGACGAGGCACUACGGUGCUGAAGCAACAAAUGCCCUGCUUCCAGGAAAAGCCUCUAAGCAUCAGGUAACAUCAAAUCGUACCCCAAACCGACACAGGUGGUCAGGUAGAGAAUACCAAGGCGCUUGAGAGAACUCGGGUGAAGGAACUAGGCAAAAUGGUGCCGUAACUUCGGGAGAAGGCACGCUGACACGUAGGUGAAGUGAUUUACUCAUGGAGCUGAAGUCAGUCGAAGAUACCAGCUGGCUGCAACUGUUUAUUAAAAACACAGCACUGUGCAAACACGAAAGUGGACGUAUACGGUGUGACGCCUGCCCGGUGCCGGAAGGUUAAUUGAUGGGGUCAGCGCAAGCGAAGCUCCUGAUCGAAGCCCCGGUAAACGGCGGCCGUAACUAUAACGGUCCUAAGGUAGCGAAAUUCCUUGUCGGGUAAGUUCCGACCUGCACGAAUGGCGUAAUGAUGGCCAGGCUGUCUCCACCCGAGACUCAGUGAAAUUGAACUCGCUGUGAAGAUGCAGUGUACCCGCGGCAAGACGGAAAGACCCCGUGAACCUUUACUAUAGCUUGACACUGAACAUUGAGCCUUGAUGUGUAGGAUAGGUGGGAGGCUUUGAAGUGUGGACGCCAGUCUGCAUGGAGCCGACCUUGAAAUACCACCCUUUAAUGUUUGAUGUUCUAACGUGGACCCGUGAUCCGGGUUGCGGACAGUGUCUGGUGGGUAGUUUGACUGGGGCGGUCUCCUCCUAAAGAGUAACGGAGGAGCACGAAGGUUGGCUAAUCCUGGUCGGACAUCAGGAGGUUAGUGCAAUGGCAUAAGCCAGCUUGACUGCGAGCGUGACGGCGCGAGCAGGUGCGAAAGCAGGUCAUAGUGAUCCGGUGGUUCUGAAUGGAAGGGCCAUCGCUCAACGGAUAAAAGGUACUCCGGGGAUAACAGGCUGAUACCGCCCAAGAGUUCAUAUCGACGGCGGUGUUUGGCACCUCGAUGUCGGCUCAUCACAUCCUGGGGCUGAAGUAGGUCCCAAGGGUAUGGCUGUUCGCCAUUUAAAGUGGUACGCGAGCUGGGUUUAGAACGUCGUGAGACAGUUCGGUCCCUAUCUGCCGUGGGCGCUGGAGAACUGAGGGGGGCUGCUCCUAGUACGAGAGGACCGGAGUGGACGCAUCACUGGUGUUCGGGUUGUCAUGCCAAUGGCACUGCCCGGUAGCUAAAUGCGGAAGAGAUAAGUGCUGAAAGCAUCUAAGCACGAAACUUGCCCCGAG